UAAUUUGUGUUACAUUUUUAAAACAUGCAACAAAUAUUUUAUUAAGUGUACUAAAUCAGGUUAUUUUAAGCUAUAUAGUAACCAAAUAUCCCCAAAUCCCAGGAGCCUAAUAAAAUAAAAGUCUGUUUGUUGCUCAUAUCACACAAUUAUGCAAGUUACCCAGUUCUCCUGAGUGACUAUUUUAGUGCCUAGAUCCUAACAGAGAUCCAUAUUUUCUCACCUUGUGAUUCCAGGAUGCUGACUGGAAAGACUUUCUCAGAGUCUCUCUCUCAGAUUACUUACAUAUAGACACUCAGCAGAGAAGACAGAGAAGAUUGCAGGGAACAUUUUAUAGUUAGUCCAGGAAGUGAUAAAUAUAUUACCUUAGCCACAACCUUUGGACACAAGGCCCUAUUAUAAGACGCUUAGACCAUCUGCAAUGUCACUUCUUGGAAUGUGACACAGCUGUUUAACUGAACUGCUCUAUUCUCAGUACAAAGAAGUUGACGGAAGAAGAGAUAACUAGGUAAUAAACCUUGAAGACUGCUGCAAUCCUCACUGAGGGAAGGCUUCAGGAAGCAGGAACAGUUCCUCCGCUAACUCAGGCAUGGUUAGCAAAGCAGUUACUUCCCAGUUGUAUGUAUCACCCUCUCUGUUCUUCACAGCCUAGAAUAACCACAGACUAGCCAAAUAAAACUACAAUAAAUACCAGAUCUUCCUGUUUCCAUUUACAAUGGAGCAAGCUGUGUAAAAGCAUUGAAUAUAUAAUGCAAUUUAGGAGAAAAGGGGAGAAUCUUAUGAGGAUUUAAA